rnacentral:lncRNA from 1 species
GUGAAUCUUUAAAUUCACAACACCCUUUAGAACUAAUCAAAGUGACACAUAUAUUAUUAAUUAAAAAAUAUUAAAUUAAAUAAAAAAUAGCUACAAAAAAUAAAAACGCUAAUUUUAACUAUGCUAACGCUUCCAGUUAAACCUUAAACUCUAAAUCUUAAAUUCUAAACCCUACACCCUAAAUUCUAAACCCAAAUCCAAACCCCUAAAUCCAAACCUUAUAUCCUAAACCCUAAUCCUAGACCCUAAACCCAAAUUAUAUACCCUAAACCCAAAAACUAGACUAUAAACCUAAACUCUAUACCCUAAACCCAAAUCUUAAACCCUAAACUCAAACCGUAAAUCUUAAACCCAAAUUAUAUACCCUAAACCCAAAACCUUAACCAUAAGUCCAAACGGUAAAUCCUAAACUCAAACCGUAAAUCCUAAACCCAAAACCUAUACCCUAAACCCAAAUCCUAGACCAAAAACUCAAACAGUAAACCCUAAACCUAAACCCAAAAGUUAGAUGCUAUAGGGUAUGGGUUAAGGUUUACGGUUUGGGUUUAAAGUCUAAGACUUAGGUUUAGGGUAUAUGGUUUAGGUUUAUAGUCUAUUUUUGGGUUUAAGGUAUAUAAUUUGGGUUUAGGGUCUAGGACUAGGGUUUAGGAUAUAGGGUUUGGGUU